UACGAAGGUGUCUAGCGUUGUUCGGAAUCACUGGGCGUAAAGCGCGCGCAGGCGGACUAUCAAGUCUGGGGUGAAAGCCCGAAGCUCAACUUCGGAAUUGCCUUGGAAACUGAUAGUCUGGAGUGCAAUAGGGGAUAGCGGAAUUCCAAAUGUAGAGGUGAAAUUCGUAGAUAUUUGGAGGAACACCGGUGGCGAAGGCGGCUAUCUGGAUUGCAACUGACGCUGAGGCGCGAAAGCGUGGGGAUCAAACAGG
rnacentral:rRNA from 1 species